rnacentral:lncRNA from 1 species
CUAGAAAAUUUUGGCCUAUCAAACGGACCCUUACUGUAAAAGUAAAUUUGGUAGGUUGAAUUGAACAUAAUCAAAUAUGUAUAAUGUUUUCUCCUGCAUACUAAACAUGUCACGAAACUAAUAAUUCUAGUUGAUGUACUCAAGGAAAGAUGGUCACUAGUUGUCUAUAUGCAUUUCAUUUGAGCACUCAUGGAGGGGGUUAAAAGGGAUGGAUUUCUGUUCACUGGACCAUACUCACAUGUGAACAGCAAGUUAGAUUUGUUGAGUCAUGUCUCAAUUCGUGGCUCAAAUUUAUACCAAUCCUCUUUUGAUUUUCACAUGGAGCUAUUCUAUUGGCCAGUAUUACUUCAUAGGGUGGGUUCAGCUGACUCAUCAUUCCCUUUCAAUUUCAUGCUAGAGUAAUAUGAUUCAUGAAUUAAUGGAUUCAAGUGCAGCCACGUCCUGCAGUUCAAAGUCCUCGUACACACACACACACACACACACACACACAUAUGUGUGUGUGUGUGUAGCCACGUCCUGCAGUUCAAAGUCCUCGUAUAUAUGUGUGUGUGUGAAAUUACAAAAAGGACUUUUCCAGGGCUGUUGUACUAAUGUUCCAGCCAUUUAUUUACUUGACGGUGACCACAUGCAGCAUAUCCUCGAGCCUGGUUCAGAAGGAUCAAGUUUUUUACAUGUAAUUUUUUUGUAUAAUACUAAUCUUUGAGCCUCGAAAAGAAGAUCAUAAAAAUUCCAUUUCCUUUGUGCACAGUUAGAAGUCUAAUUGUCCACCCGGCGAUGACUAACCUGGAGAAAAAAGGUCAAUGAUUCUUAAAAUUGUUCCCAUAUUAGGAGAAGCCAAACCUUGCACACAAGCAGGGACACUCUUAAAAGCCAGUAACUGUCAAUGUUGAUGCCAUUGCAAUAUGACAACUUGGAUGCUCUCGAACCUGAACGUUGAUGUUUUUGAAAGGAAUCAGUAGUCUCCGGUCCCACUCAAGCCCUACCAAGACUUCUGCCUACCACAAAAUUAUCAAACUACUUUUCAUGCUCACUAUUAUACUGCCACGUGUCGUCCCAUGAAUUCAGCCUGCAAUAUGAACCCCUCAAGUCCAGUGACCGGCCUCAAAAUGUUAUAGUGUGCUUCAAUAGGAAAACAGAGUAACCAAAAAGAAAUGUUAAAGGAAAAGAGUAGAGGAGUACAUGGUGGCAACACCAGCAGCCAUUGGGCCCGGAUUUGUGACACUUGCCAAUCAGCAGUCUGCACCAUGUAUUGCAGGGCUGACUCGGCGUACCUCUGCACUGGCUGCGACUCUCGCAUCCACAGAACCAGUCUUGAGGCCUCGCGCCAUCAGCGCAUGUGGGUGUGUGAGGCCUGUGAACGUGCUCCAGCAGCCUUCCUAAGUAAGGCUGAUGCUGCGUCCCUAUGUACAACCUGUGACUCGGACAUCCACUCAGCCAACCCUUUGGCACGGCGCCAUCAACGUGCCCCAAUUUUGCCGAUUCCCGGAAUGCUCUAUGGUACUCCGUCAGCCACUUACCCCAGUGGAUUAGUAAUGGGGCCUACUGGGGUUGCAGCCAAGAUUGAGUUCUUGAUUCAAGACGAAGAUCAAACUAUACAUGAAGAAGAAGAUGAAGACGAGGCAGCUUCAUGGCUUUUGUUCAACCAUGUUAAGAAUAUUUGCAACCAAAGUAACAACAUUGGACGGUUCUUUGGCGGAGAGGUUGACGAGUAUUUGGACCUUGACGAGUAUAAUUCAUAUCAGGACAACCAGUUCAGUAAUCAGGACAACAAUCAACUGCAACCUUACGAUGUUUCUCAAAAGAGCUAUGGCAGUGACAAUGUUGUGCCAAUCCAAAAGAGUAAGGAUCAGAUUUACAACCAUAGUUUUCAGUUGGGAAGGGAGUACGAGGCCUCGAAAAAUGUUUAUGAUAAUCCCGCUUCAAUUUCUCACACUGUAAGUUCUUCUUCACCUAGUGCAUACUUCAUACGUAGUAUUAAAGAAGACAAGACAAUAUAAUAAACUAGAUUUAGUUUCUGCGUGUCUUAGUGCUAUCCAGUCCUAUCCAUUCGUCAUUGUUUUCUUCAAUUACUCAGUGCAAGUUUUUUCAGCUAAAUGCACAAGUUUUUUCUUGGUGAUGAAAUCAGGUAUCAUUUUCAUCUUUAGAUGUUGGAGUUGUUCCAGAAUCCACAACUAGUGAGGUUUCGGUCUCCCACCCAAGACCUCCAAAGGGGACCAUUGAUCUCUUCUCUAGCCCUCCUAUCCCAAUGCCAACACAACUUUCUCCAACGGACAGAGAAGCCAGAGUGUUAAGGUACAGAGAGAAGAAGAAGGCGAGGAAGUUUGAGAAGACCAUCAGGUAUGCAUCAAGGAAGGCCUAUGCAGAAACCAGACCUAGGAUCAAAGGUCGAUUUGCAAAAAGAACAGAUGUAAGAGCCAACCAGAUGUUCUCAUCAACGCUAAUAGAAGAAGGUGGCUAUGGAAUCGUCCCAUCAUUCUGAUCUGAUCCCAGCAAGAAAAGGUUUAAGAGAAUUAAAAAACGAAUCAUCUCAAAUUUGUACCAAUCAUUUCAAAAGCCAUUACCAAUGAUUCUCUUAGUAAUUCCUGUUUAUAAUUUAGGUAUCAUCUUGUUCAAAUCUCUGCCUUGUUGUAAAUCCAUGUACUUGUGCACUUACACCGGUACCAAUCCUUUGUUUACAUUGUUUAAUGAACACAUGCAUAUAUGUAAAUUAUCGAUCCUUUUAGCCUAACUUCAAAUUUCGUUAA